CAUACACAUUUAUGGCCGCCCCAUAAACACUUAUGGCCACCCCAUACACAUUUAUGGUCUCCAUAACCAUUUAUGGCCACCCCAUACGCAUUUAUGGCUGCCCCAUGUACAUUUAUGGCCACCCCAUAACCAUUUAUGGCUGCCCCAUAACUAUCUAUGGCUGCCCCAUACACUCUUAUGGCCGCCCCAUAACCAUUUAUGGCCACCCCAUGUACAUUUAUGGCCACCCUAUGUAUAUUUUUGGCCACCCCAUAACCAUUUAUGGCCACCCCAUACACACUUAUGGCCACCCCAUACACAUUUAUGGCCACCCCAUAACCAUUUAUGGCCACCCCAUAUCCAAUUAUGGCCACCCCAUAAACAUUUAUGGCCACCCAUAUUAUUUAUGGCCACCCCAUAAACAUUUAUGGCCACCCCAUAACCAUUUAUGGCCACCCCAUAUACACUUAUGGCCACCCCAUACACAUUUAUGGCCGCCCCAUACACAUUUAUGGCCACCCUAUGUACAUUUAUGGCCACCCCGUACACAUUUAUGUCCACCCCAUAAACAUUUAUGGUCUCCCUAUGUACAUUUAUGGCCACCCCAUACACAUUUAUGGCUGCCCAUAUAUAUUUAUGGCUGCCCCAUAACCAUUUAUGGCCGCCCCAUGUACAUAUAUGGCCACCCCAUAAACACUUAUGGCCACCCCGUAACCAUUUAUGGCCACCCCAUGUAAAUUUAUGGCUGCCCCAUGUACAUUUAUGGCCACCCCAUAACCAUUUAUGGCCGCCCCAUGUACAUAUAUGGCCACCCCAUAAGCAUUUAUGGCCGCCCCAUAACCAUUUAUGGCCGCCCCAUAAGCAUUUAUGGCCGCCCCAUAGGUGAUCUGCUGCGAGGGCAACGCGGGUUUCUAUGAGGUCGGCUGUCUGUCCACCCCCCUCGAGGGUACGGACCCCCCCCCAAACCCCAAAACCCGGCCCU
rnacentral:lncRNA from 1 species